rnacentral:rRNA from 1 species
CACAUCCUGGGGCUGAAGUAGGUCCCAAGGGUAUGGCUUUUCGCCAUUUAAAGUGGUACGCGAGCUGGGUUUAGAACUUUUUGAGACAGUUCGGUCCCUAUCUGCCGUGGGCGCUGGAGAAUUGAGGGGGGCUGCUCCUAGUACGAGAGGACCGGAGUGGACGCAUCACUGGUGUUCGGGUUGUCAUGCCAAUGGCAUUGCCCGGUAGCUAAAUGCGGAAGAGAUAAGUGCUGAAAGCAUCUAAGCACGAAACUUGCCCCGAGAUGAGUUCUCCCUGACUCCUUGAGAGUCCUGAAGGAACGUUGAAGACGACGACGUUGAUAGGCCGGGUGUGUAAGCGCAGCGAUGCGUUGAGCUAACCGGUACUAAUGAACCGUGAGGCUUAACCUUAC